rnacentral:sRNA from 1 species
GAGUUAUUAGCAGAAGAAAAAUCAAAACCCAUUCCAAUUAUGCCAGCCAGUCCACAAAAAGGUCAUGCUGUGAAUCUGCUAGAUGUGGUGAGCCACGACAAUUUGGUUUAGGUAAUACGGUGACCAAGUUAGUAGGAAAAUGAUUAGACAGAAAGAACUAAAAGUCUCAAAAACUUAUAUAACUUUCAGAUGUUAAAUGCUGCCAUUUCAGUGUCACAAAAGUAAUAUUUUUCCCCCCUCAUCCCUAUUUAGCCAGUUCCUGUUGCACGAAAACUAUCUGCUCGGGAACAGCGAGAUUGUGAGGUUAUUGAACGACUCAUUAAAUCAUAUUUUCUCAUUGUCAGAAAGAAUAUUCAAGACAGUGUGCCAAAGGCAGUAAUGCAUUUUUUGGUUAAUCAUGUGAAAGACACUCUUCAGAGUGAGCUAGUAGGCCAGCUGUAUAAAUCAUCCUUAUUGGAUGAUCUUCUGACAGAAUCUGAGGACAUGGCACAGCGCAGGAAAGAAGCAGCUGAUAUGCUAAAGGCAUUACAAGGAGCCAGUCAAAUUAUUGCUGAAAUCCGAGAGACUCAUCUUUGGUGAAGAGAACUAUGUAAUACUGAGACUUUGUUGACUCAAAACUUGCUAGUUACUGCCUACCUGAGUAGAAUCUUAUUUAUGAACUCCUGUGUAUUGCAAUGGUAUGAAUCUGCUCAUGUGGAGACUGGCUAUAAACUGAAAAGUGUAUUCCAUAUUGCAGAACAAAUCACACAUUU